GUCUCCUUCCCCUUCCGCAAACGUCGCUUCUGGCGGCUCGCUCUCCUCGACGGCGACCGAUGAUGAGCUCCCGUCUGCUUCCCCACCGUCUUGCUGAGACCAAUCCGAAGUCUCGGCAACUGAGGUGACGAAAGGCGACUUCUUUAGGUGGGUUUUGGUUUUGAGAGAGAGGGAGAAGCGGGAGAAUGAGAGCGGGAGGUUAGUGCGUUUGGUGAGGAGGGAGCAGCGAGUUCUGGAGGAAGAGAUAGUGGAGAAUGAAGGGUGAGAGAAGAUGGUGGAAGAGGAGGAUUCUGACAUGGCUAAUGGCCUCAAGCUCGAGGUUACUAUUGAAGAAGCCAUUGGAGAAUUGUGAGAGAAGAGAAGGAAGUGUUGAAAAAAGAAGAGGAAGGGAGGGUUUUAGAACGGUGAGGGAGAUAUGGAUAAGGAGGCCCAAGACAGCAAGAGAAGAAAUAAAAAUGUUAGAUAAACUGAACCAAAAAACUAUGUUUGGUAAAUUGAACCAAAACAAAAAAAAAAUUAUUUAAUGCAAACAAUAAUAAAUAUUUUAAGUUUUAACCAUAGUUUUUGUUUUUAUUAUUUGUUUCUUAAUUUGAGUUCUGUGGUUAUAUUUAUCGAUGAAAGUUUAUAAUAUACUGGUUAAGUCAAUGGUUUGAAUUGUUGACAAAAAAAAUGUCAAUGGUUUGAAUUUGAUUUGCAAGCAUAUUGAGUUUUGUGAUUUGAUAUGGCAUUACACUCGCCACUAAUAGUUCUUCUGUAUAAAAUAUUGUUGUUGUUUUCCUCCUUCUAAAACUCGGUGAAUGCAAUGUUAAAACACACAUUCUAUCUUGAAUGGCAUGUACUCAUUGUUUCUCAUGGUUUCGGACUUUGAGUAAGGAUUGGACGUUGAUACUUGCAUUAGCCUUCUAAUUAUAUCACUCAGCUUAUCAUAGUUGAAUAUGGAAAUGGAAAGAGACAUUUGGUUACCACUUAGCACUAUCGGAGACGUCCAUAUGAUUUUGGUGUGAAGCAACAAUUAUAUCAUAAAGAACAAUAUACUAAUUACAUACAAAGUUCUAAAGACAUAUAUAUGUCAGCAGUCCUGGUUUUUGACAAGUUCUCAGAAGUAUGUAAUUUGAUCUUCAUUGAAGUUGUAAACACUUUCAAAGUCUUGAUCCAUCUCAGAUACCUAUUAGUUACAACUGAAUUAACCGGCCCACGGGGACAGCACAAGCUCAACAAGAUUACCAUCAAAGUUUUCAAUAGGAGACAUGUGUUUGUAACCAAUGUGGAAAAUUCUCUAACUAGUUUAAUGUUAUAUAUGACGAAGAAAACAGGGGGAAACUAUCUUUAUAACUUUGUAACUUUAUAUUCGCAUAAUUUAUUAAGUACUGACUUGCCAAUUCGAACCUGCUACACAAUACCCACUGCAUCACAUCGUUCGCUGCAACCAGCAACAACAGAAUCUUUUAUAUUUCUUCUUUUCUUUCCUGAGUUAAUAUGUUGCAGAGCAGCACAUGUGACAUGACAUGGCCAAGAGUAGGGCAACCACUUUGCUUGCUAUUUAUGACAACACUGAGAUUUGACGACCCUCCUUUCUUACAUGGGAUAUACUGUAUUUUGAUUUAGUGGGUUAGAAAUCAAAUAAAACCAUUAUCGUUUUUUUUUUCUUGUAUUCAUAAUCAUUCCCUGGUGCAACGCCAACCUAGGCCUUAUACUUUCAUUCCUUCCGAAUGUUACAUAGGUGUGCAGUAUAUAUAACGUUGCAGGGUCUUUUCCAAACUUGGUUUAGUACCUAUGAAAACUUUUACUAGUUGUGAUGUCUUCCAUUCGUUACACAAAUUCAUAGGUUCUGUACAUACACAUUCUUUCAUUUGAUCAAUAAUUUGACAUUUCAUCAAAAAGAAUGUUACAUAGUUUCAGUAAAAAAAAAAAAAUAUAUAUAUAUAUAUAUAUAUAUAUAACUAACGACUUCUGAUGCAAUUAGCGUUUGCAUUCAUUUUUUAUUUGGAAUGUGUAAAACCACUUAUAUAUUUUUAGUAUAUUUUAUUCUAAAAUAGAAGAAAAAAUCUAUUAUAGAUAUAGAAUAAUAUUUUGUUUACCUUUUUCAGCAUUUUGUUUGCCUUUAUAUUUAGAAGUAAAAACAGUAUUCAUCUAUAUUUUUCUGAAAAAAAUAGAGAAACUUUAUUAUAUAAACAUACAUUAUAUUAAAUUCAUUUCUAUAGUGGAAUUUCUUUAUUUUAUAAAGAAAUAUAGAGAAAGAAUAGAAAUGUUUUAAUAAUAAGUAUUAAUAGUAAAUCGUAUUUGUUAUUAUAAAAUGUUGGUGAUGGAUCAUUGGAUCAAAAAUAAAUUAAUAAGGAGGGCAAAGAGACAAGUGUGAAGAUUAAUGGAUAUGUCUGGUCGAGAAGCUAAGAGCCAAGGUUGGGGAUAAGAGAGAGUGAAAGAAAGUUCCAAGACAUAGAUCAGGCCGAGAAAUGAAUCAUCAAUGUCGCUCUAUUCUCAUACACUCUGUUUCCUCUGUCCUUUGUCUUGAGUCUAUUAUUUCUUAUGAUGUUAAGCCUGUUACACAUGCAUGAAUAUAAUGGACCAUUUCUUUUUUUGUAUCCCGACAAGUGUUGCAAUUCCAUAUUCUGAUAAAAGCGACUUCACGAGCACGAUCAAGACUUUUUGCUUAUUCUUUACUAUCUUUUUAUUUUAGUUAGUGUUUAUCUUCUCAAAUCAAAAUAUGCCAUCAUGAUGAGUCGAAUCAAACCACAUUUGUUUCAGAAUAUUUUUUACGGCAUUUGCUAGCAAGUAGAUAUGAACUUAUAUGCCUAAGUUUCUUAAUAUGUUAAUAUACAUAUAUAGACAAUCAAGAUCUUAUCCGUAGAUAAAUGAACUUUUUCAUAGAACUUGAAAACACCUUUUCUCUAUGUUCUCGUGAUGUCUUAAUGUUAUAACUUUUUGUUUAACGACUCUUAAUGUUAUAACUUAGUUUAGAUACAUCUCACUUUCUCAAUUUCUAAUUAAGACUUGGCUCAUUUUAAAGAUAGUCAUAGCUCUUAGGUUAGCGUAUUUUUGACAGAUCGGCCGCUAAAUACUACCCUUACAUAACCAUGCAAGGCCAUAUUUAUAAAACCUAGAAAAUGGUAUCUGAAAGAUUUAAGAUUAAGAGUAAUUCUCUCACAAGUCUCAGAAAACUAGCUUGUUUUGCGAGUUCUUUUGCUCUCUCUCUAUGUUGACUAACCUAAAUCUUCUUCAAAUUCCUCUUCUUUUAUACUUUUGAGUUCUUUUCAUACUCAAAUCAUUUUUUUCGUCCAGCUGCUUCUUCUUUUCUUUUUUUUGAACACACGUCCAGCUGCUUCAAACUCUUAAUAUUCUUGGGCUUAUAGUAUUGAGGCCCUCCAAUUAGAAGACACAAAUUUUAGGCUCAUCAUAUACUGGACUUGAACAUUUCAUCUUCUUUUAACCUUUGAUGAAUAUAUUGCUCAACAAUCCUUCACCACAAUGUGAUAACAAACAAGAUAUACCCCAUGAAGCAAAGCCGAUGAUUUGGAAUCGUGAUCGUCAAAUAUCUAGACGUAUAACAAGAUCAUCUUCACUAUGAUUACAGCUUCACUUUAGCGUGUGGUUAACAAGAACCCAAUCCUCACCUGUCACUUCCUUUCACCUCUUUGAAAAACGAUAGAACAAGAUCCAUCUUACAUCAUUUAAGAGAAGGGAGUGCUUUGCUAUAGAAGCUUUCCACUAUUUGGCGCGUUUGUGGUGAGAGGCUCCUUGUUGCUAAUAUUUAAAACACUGACAAGGAAUAAUGACAGAGAAAUGUGGAUAGACCGUCAAGGAGAAAUAAUGAUACAAAAUUACAUUAGAACUUAGAAGAAGCUUCGCAUUCGGAACUCUGUCCCCAAAAAAAAAUCACCAAAGAGUGUAAAAAUCUCGUCUAAACAAAAUGCAAAGAGACAGAGGGCAGAGAGAGAUCUUUCUCAGUCCUUAAAAUCCACGCCUUGGACGCUCCUCCGCUACAUUCACUCUGAUCGCUCUACCCUCCAUGUUCUGCAAACAACAACAAGCCACAAAGGAAUUGAACAUCACAAAAUCAUGUAAGAACUGCAUUAGCAUAAUAUAGAAGAGGAACAUGAGGGGGGUACCUGUCCAUCAAGAGCAGCGAUGGCAUCAUUGAGUUCAGUCUCAUUAGACAUUGUCACAAAACCAAACCCACGUGAACGACCUGUCUCACGGUCAUAAACCACUCUAGCUUCCACAACUUUGCCAUGCUCACUGAACACUUGUUCUAGACGACCAUUGUCCACAUCCCACGGUAGGUUUCCAACGUAGACUCUGAAUGCAGGUUCAUAUACCCGAGGUUGACGUUCUGGACGUGAUCCUCUGGGUGCUGCCUUGUUCACCGUCAAAAGCCGUCCGUUUAGAUCCUAACCAAAAAAAAAAAAAUGAAAAGAUCAACUCAGAUGCUCAAUAAUGUUCUCACAAACAUAAUCAGAAGUUGCAGACAAAAAAAUCUCCAACUCAACUCAGCUGCCAAAAUGUCUCAGACACAACAUUUCAAUGCAAAUACAACAAAUGAGUAUGAGAUAAUGCAUCAAUCAAUAAAAUGCUUUCUUAGAGCAGAAAGAAUAAAACUUUGGUUGGAUUAAGAGCAGACAAUGCCACUUAUGACCCAAAACAAAAGGAUCAGUAUCACUCCAACUCCACCAAUACAUGCUAAUAGUUGAGAUAUGAUUGAUACACAUAUGAGAACUUACAUAACGGUUGAACUUCUCAACAGCAGUCUCAGCUUCUUCCACUGUACUCAUUGUCACAAAUCCAAACCCACGACUCUGGUCGGUUUCCCUAUUGUAUAUAACCUUCAACCAGUGAAGAACCCAAAGGAACAAGUUAGUAUUAGCAAACGCUAUCUCUUGAACUAUAAACAAAUGUGAGAACUCAACUAACAACAACAUCAACAGUACCAAUAUACUCAAAACCAAUAGAGUGUGAAAGUUCCAUCUAAUUCAUUUCAAAGAUGCUUCAAACAGUUAAAAGCCAAGAACUUUGACUUCAUCUCGUUCAUUUGACACAUAAAGGAUGCAAAUUGCAAUGCACAGAACAUACAAGAACGAAACCAAACUCACCUCGGCGAUUUCAACUGUACCGGCUUGCUCAAAGAGCAUAGCCAAGGCCUGGCUGUCAACGUCGUAAGCCAAGUUUCCGACGAAGAGCUUCGCUUCUUCCGGCGGCUCCGUAAAGUCGCCGCCUUCGCUCACGUCUCCUUCCCCUUCCGCAAACGUCGCUUCUGGCGGCUCGCUCUCCUCGACGGCGACCGAUGAUGAGCUCCCGUCUGCUUCCCCACCGUCUUGCUGAGACCAAUCCGAAGUCUCGGCAACUGAGGUGACGAAAGGCGACUUCUUUAGGUGGGUUUUGGUUUUGAGAGAGAGGGAGAAGCGGGAGAAUGAGAGCGGGAGGUUAGUGCGUUUGGUGAGGAGGGAGCAGCGAGUUCUGGAGGAAGAGAUAGUGGAGAAUGAAGGGUGAGAGAAGAUGGUGGAAGAGGAGGAUUCUGACAUGGCUAAUGGCCUCAAGCUCGAGGUUACUAUUGAAGAAGCCAUUGGAGAAUUGUGAGAGAAGAGAAGGAAGUGUUGAAAAAAGAAGAGGAAGGGAGGGUUUUAGAACGGUGAGGGAGAUAUGGAUAAGGAGGCCCAAGACAGCAAGAGAAGAAAUAAAAAUGUUAGAUAAACUGAACCAAAAAACUAUGUUUGGUAAAUUGAACCAAAACAAAAAAAAAAUUAUUUAAUGCAAACAAUAAUAAAUAUUUUAAGUUUUAACCAUAGUUUUUGUUUUUAUUAUUUGUUUCUUAAUUUGAGUUCUGUGGUUAUAUUUAUCGAUGAAAGUUUAUAAUAUACUGGUUAAGUCAAUGGUUUGAAUUGUUGACAAAAAAAAUGUCAAUGGUUUGAAUUUGAUUUGCAAGCAUAUUGAGUUUUGUGAUUUGAUAUGGCAUUACACUCGCCACUAAUAGUUCUUCUGUAUAAAAUAUUGUUGUUGUUUUCCUCCUUCUAAAACUCGGUGAAUGCAAUGUUAAAACACACAUUCUAUCUUGAAUGGCAUGUACUCAUUGUUUCUCAUGGUUUCGGACUUUGAGUAAGGAUUGGACGUUGAUACUUGCAUUAGCCUUCUAAUUAUAUCACUCAGCUUAUCAUAGUUGAAUAUGGAAAUGGAAAGAGACAUUUGGUUACCACUUAGCACUAUCGGAGACGUCCAUAUGAUUUUGGUGUGAAGCAACAAUUAUAUCAUAAAGAACAAUAUACUAAUUACAUACAAAGUUCUAAAGACAUAUAUAUGUCAGCAGUCCUGGUUUUUGACAAGUUCUCAGAAGUAUGUAAUUUGAUCUUCAUUGAAGUUGUAAACACUUUCAAAGUCUUGAUCCAUCUCAGAUACCUAUUAGUUACAACUGAAUUAACCGGCCCACGGGGACAGCACAAGCUCAACAAGAUUACCAUCAAAGUUUUCAAUAGGAGACAUGUGUUUGUAACCAAUGUGGAAAAUUCUCUAACUAGUUUAAUGUUAUAUAUGACGAAGAAAACAGGGGGAAACUAUCUUUAUAACUUUGUAACUUUAUAUUCGCAUAAUUUAUUAAGUACUGACUUGCCAAUUCGAACCUGCUACACAAUACCCACUGCAUCACAUCGUUCGCUGCAACCAGCAACAACAGAAUCUUUUAUAUUUCUUCUUUUCUUUCCUGAGUUAAUAUGUUGCAGAGCAGCACAUGUGACAUGACAUGGCCAAGAAAAAGAAGUAUUAUAGUAUUGGUUAGUUAUUUGGAGAAAAACAAAUACACUGGUUAGUUAUUUUAGUUGUUAUAAAAUUUCAAAUUUUGAAACAUAUCCACAAUCAGUGGAGAGUAGUCAACACAAAUACGAGACCACUCCAUCAAAAGUAGGACUGCUGAGACCCAUGACUGUUUUCAGUCAUCUUUUUGGAGUAUUUUUCCCUUUUUCCUAUUCCAAUGUUUUCUUCAAAUGUCACCAUUUUUUUUUAUGUUCUAGCACGGUCACAUGCUUUUCUCUAUUUUGAAGGGUAAGUUUCUUUAUCUAAACCACAAUCGAUGCAUCGACCAGAGUGAAAAAGUCGUGGCUUUGGUCAAACAUUGACUGGCUCAAACAACUUUGACCCAAAAGAGAGUUGCCCAUUUUACACAACAUUCCAAACUUCUGAAUGGGUGGGUCUAUGGCUAUAAUAUCAAAGAUUCACAAGAGAGAGUUGCUUGUGUCAAAGACAGAGAUUCACAAGGAAACAUAAAUUAUAUUAAUAUCAAAGAUCAACACAUCUGCACUUGUUCCUACACUCGAACCUCCUAAUAAUAGAUUCCUUAAAACAGAGAAUCCUUACAAGGGUCCUAAAGAGCAGUAAAGCGAGAGGUUGUAUUCUCCUUAAUUUUACCCCCAUAAAGAAGUAAAAUCAUAAAGACAGUAAAUUAAGAACUACAGAAAGUUAUAACUUAACUCCCUUAAUUGGUGGCUUUAAUUGCCUUUUCUAUACUAAUUAAGCUAAAAAAAACCUUAACUGACCCACUUAAGGCCACCACAAUCAGCAACGAGAACCCUUACGGCAAUUGAGUGCACCAGAACCCACCGUCAAUGGUCCAACAAGAGAAGACGGUUUCGCCCCAAGACUCGACGCCUUAGCAUAGCUAGACGACUGAGCACCACCGGACGGAGUAAAAAACGCACCGUUUAACAACAAAUCACCAGAUGAUCUCCAAUUCCAUCUCUUCCACUCACUCUCCGGCGCAUCCUCAUGCUUAGUCACCUCUUUGCUGAAUCUAAUAUUCGGAGCCACAAAUCUAUUCCCUUGACUAUUGAUAGUAGGAUUAGCACUUCCACCAAUCGCAUACAUCUCCCAAUGUGUAUAGUCAUUGUUCACCACAUGGAAGUACCCAUGUCUACACCUACAUAACAUUGGUCCCAACACAUUAACUCACAAAACCACAUUAACUAACUCAAAAUAAAAAAAAAAUCAAAUCUUAUUUACCUUGGCAUUCUUUGAACAAGCCCUUCACCAAAAUGAUUAAAAGCAAUAGUAAUCUGCAUGUUCUUGUCACGAACGUAAGUAUCACUAUGCCCAAGCAACAUAACCUUAUCAUGAUGCGUCAUGUAGUUAUUAGACAAAGUAAUCGCCGUCGAGCCCAUUAUAGCAUCAAUAAGCCCAUCUUCACAGUUAGACAACGAACAGUGAUCAACCCAAACAUGACUCCCUCCGAAGAUCGACACACCGUCACCGUCAGACACCGUUCUCCACCCGUAGUGCCUCGGCGAGCUCCGCACCAUAGCGUUCCCGCCUCGCUUGCAGUCGUGGAUGUGAACCCCGUGGAUGAUGAUGUUCGUCACGUACUGGAUCGUGACGCAAGGCCCGCCGGCGAUGUGCACGGAGGCGCCGCGGCCGUCGAUGGUUUUGAAAGAGUUCAUGAUGAGCUCCUCUUUGAGGCGGAUGGUCAUGUCUCGCUGGAAGAUGAUCCAGAGGGGCUCGUCCUGGACCACGGCGUGGCGUAAAGUUCCGGGCUUGGGGGUCACCGGGUCGUCGUUGCCUGAGUCGGUGACGACGUAGAUGCGACCGUCGCGGCCGCCGAUGGCGUUUUUGCCGAACCCGAUGGCGCAGUCGGCGAGGCGGUGACGGUGGGACUCCCAGUGUGGGUCGCAGCGCCAGCAGUCGUCGAUUGGGUUGCCGGUGGUGCAGGAGAGGUAGCCUAGCUUCCUCCGUGCUGCGACCGAUGCGUUGAUGCUCCUGUGUAACAGAGAGGAAGCAAGAAAGGUUGAGACUUUAUUACAUUAGAGAUUUUUGUAAAGUUUGCGCCUUUAUGGUCUCAUAGUAACACUAACUGAGAUUUGAGGUUUAUUGUCGGACUUGUGAAGAGAAACAAGCUAAGUGAGAAGUUGGGUUUCAUGUAAAAAUGUAGGUUAAGGAGAAAUGUGGAAGAAAGAUUCGUACUUGUGAACUUCUUCGACGAUGGCUUCUGGGUCUGGGACUGGUGAAGAGAAGAUCAGUGGAGCAUAGAGAAGAAAGGAGAGUAUGGAGAUAAAGAGCUUCUUCGUCUGCAUUUUUCUUCUCUCUGUUUUCAGUACAGACCAACUCUCUCACUCUCUUGGAUUUAAGUGAGAGAAGAGGGAAACAAAUAAGGAUGAGGGAAGUUUUGAGUUGGGAUGGAGAGAAGAUGAAACUUUGGGGGUUUAUAUAAAACAAUGUUAAAGGACGUUUGUUAUUGGAAUUUUCGGUUUAGGUCCCACUCUUUUAUUUCUUCUUUAGUAAAAGAAACUUAUAUUAUAAUGCCCAGGAUGAACCAAUUGAAUGUUUACAGCCAUUACAAUUAAAACCUUCCAUAAGCUAACUGCUGACAUUAAAACAAACACUCCAGUCUAAUUAGGUCGAAAAUGUUGUACUUUUCAAAUAAGUCCCACUUGAUAUGUUUAGCUGAAUAAAAACAAUAGGAGGUUGGUUUGAGUAAUAGUAAGGAUCCAAACGUAGUAACUAGUAACCAUUCUAGUUGAUAACAAAUACAGACAAAAAAAAAAGCUCAAUGUAUAGGAUGUCAAACCAGCAGAAAAGUAUCAGCUUAUUAUAGCAGUUUUCACUCAAAAUAAAUAUAACAAAAGUUUGAGAUGUUAUGCAAAGUUGUGAACCAUAUAACCACCUCACCUACCAUAACGAUGCAAAUAUAAAUUGGUUAUAGAUUGCAAAUUUUCUUUCUCUCAUGCUUCACUUUUGCAUUUCAUUAGACUUUACCUUUUAGGUUUUAGAUGUACACGUCCCGUAUAAAUUCAGGAUAUAUAGUUACGUAUAUUGCAAAACUAAAUGUGAUAUACAUUAGUUGCACAAAAAUAAACAUUGAAAGGUGGUGUUUCGAAAAAAAACACAUUAAAAUUGUCCGUAUCAGAACCGUUAUUCCAGAACAAAUCAUUUGGUUAUUCUGAGACCUAUAACUCUCGAGUCUCAACCAUAUACUAGCAACAUGUUAGGUAAAAUGUCAACUAAAAGCGAAGAUAAACCGACAGAACAUGUCAAGUACUCGAGUAAGGAAAAAACAAAAUCUAUAGAAAUGAGAUUAUGAAAAAAGAAAAUGGUAGGGACAAGCCAUGUAAUUAGUCGAAUGAUUCCAUCAAAGAUAAAUACUCCUUGAGUUAUAGAGUUAUAUGAUUUUUAAUAUAUGGUUUUUGUUUCAAGCUCAGUUGAUAUAUGAAAUUUCUUCUUCCUCUUUUACUAUUGACCAAUUUUUGUUUAAAUCUUAAACUGUAGAGGAAAUUAGUUUCAGCUAUUUUCUUAAUGAUUCGUGUUUGUGAAAAGGACGUGAAAACGUCUCUUAAUGCACCAGUCACGGCAGGGAAAUUAGAUACGAAUCUAUGCGGUAAAAGUCAAUAGUUAAUAGGGACUGGUAAUCAUAUGUUAAUCCGGAAAGCAUUGGAGAGACGUAAAGUGAAAGUAUAAGUGGGACAUCCGGACAUGUAAGGCCUCGUGAUUUGCAGGUUUUACGGGAUUCCUUUCAAUUGUAAGGUUGUUUUGGUAGUUUAAGCAUGCUGGUCUUUGGACAACGUUACCAAAUGAUACGGCUGGUUUUAAAAAUUAAAGUUAAAAUGAGAAAAUAACGAUAAUGUCACUUCUUGAAUAGAAGUAUAAAUAUAGAUAUAUCUUGUCGGUAUGAACAUUUCUCAUUUGAAAGUUGAAAAUUCAUCAAAUAUUAACUUGAUCCAUAAUUCUAACUCAAAGUUGGUCUCGUCUAUUGGUCAGGAAUUGGAAGUUCAUCUAAUUUAAAUUUAAAUAUGUACAUUUAUUUUCUGCAAGUAAAGUAUUUAUGCUACCUUAGCAAUUUUCAUGUGAAUCAAUAUUUACCCCUGUUCAUAACACAAUGGAAUAGUGGGAAUCAACAAGGAGAGAGGCCCGCUCAACUAAAAUCUUCAUUCUUGACCUUCACUCCACCAACAAGAGUUGAUCAUAAAAAUAAAUUUGACAACGACAGUGAAGAUUUGAGUCAUCACAGCACAUGCAUCCCAAAACUUAUUAUUAUUUGGAGGGCAAAGCAAGACAACAAUUACAUGCUCGACAUUAUCUUUCUUUCUUUUGUUUAGUCAUUUUUGUCCGUAAAGCUCGCCGAUAAUUUGAACACAAAAGUAUAAUCUUAUGGCAUCCACUCACAAAUAUACUACGUGGCACAUUCAUACAAAUGUCUUAUUCGUCGUUAUGGGGACCCCAAAUGAUUACUUGUAUACAACGGAGUCUUGAUUGAAUCCAAGUUUUGUUGACGUACAACUUGGAAGGAUUCCAGUGUCAUCAUACAGUUAAUAUAAGA
rnacentral:lncRNA from 1 species